AAGUCGUAACAAGGUUUCCGUAGGUGAACCUGCGGAAGGAUCAUUAACACGUUAUCCACGUAUAUAAACACCACACUGAACGAUGCUCCCUGUUAGAAGACUUCAAGGAUAUCGGUGCUUGACUAUUGUGGGCGGAUAGAGCUUCGGCUUGUUUCGCACGUCAUGCUUGCUGGUUCUGUCGACCCCGGGGCCGAGGGCGAAUCCGAGACACUUUCUUUCAGGCUUAUUGAUUCUCUUGUCCGGCGGCGAAAGCCGAUCCCAACCACUUUGGGCGACGAGACGACACCAUACCCCUUUCACCCUAUUUUACUAAUUUGACUGAUUAUAACAUUCUUCGGGAGAAAUCCUGUUGAAUUUCUAAGAUUUAUCUUAACUAAGCACAACUCUUAGCAAUGGAUAUCUUGGUUCUC
rnacentral:misc_RNA from 1 species